rnacentral:rRNA from 1 species
AGUUCGAUUAUGGCUCAGAUUGAACGCUGGCGGGAUGCUUUACACAUGCAAGUCGAACGGCAGCACGGACUUCGGUCUGGUGGCGAGUGGCUUGAACAGGUGAGUAAUGUAUCGGAACGUGCCUAGUAGCGGGGGGAUAACGCCCGAAAGCGUAGCUAAUACCACGCAUACGCCCUUCGGGGAAAGCGGGGGACCUUCGGGCCUCGCACUAUUAGAGCGGCCGAUAUCGGAUUAGCUAGUUGGUGGGAGUAACGGCUCACCAAGGCGCGAUCCGUAGCUGGUUUGAGAGGACGACCAGCCACACUGGGACUGAGACACGGCCCAGACUCCUACGGGAGGCAGCAGUGGGGAAUUUUGGACAAUGGGGAAACCCUGAUCCAGCCAUCCCGCGUGUGCGAUGAAGGCCUUCGGGUUGUAAAGCACUUUUGGCAGGAAAGAAACGGCACGGGAUAAUACCCCGUGCAACUGACGGUACCUGCAGAAUAAGCACCGGCUAACUACGUGCCAGCAGCCGCGGUAAUACGUAAGUGCAAGCGUUAAUCGGAAUUACUGGGCGUAAAGCGUGCGCAGGCGGUUCGGAAAGAAAGAUGUGAAAUCCAGAGCUUAACUUUGGAACUGCAUUUUUAACUACCGAGCUAGAGUGUGUCAGAGGAGUGGAAUUCCCGCGUGUAGCAGUGAGAAAUGCGUAGAUAUGCGGAGGAACACCGAUGGCGAAGGCAGCCUCCUGGGAUAACACUGACGCUCAUGCACGAAAGCGUGGGGGAGCAAACAGGAUUAGAUACCCUGGUAGUCCACGCCCUAAACGAUGUCAACUAGCUGUUGGGGCCUUCGGAGCGUAUUAGCGCAGCUAACGCGUGAAGUUGACCGCCUGGGAGUACGGUCGCAAGAUUAAAACUCAAAGGAAUUGACGGGGACCCGCACAAGCGGUGGAUGAUGUGGAUUAAUUCGAUGCAACGCGAAAAGCCUUACCUACCCUUGGCAUAUCUGGAAUCGAAGAGAUUUGGGAGUGCUCGCAAGAGAACCGGAACACAGGUGCUGCAUGGCUGUCGUCAGCUCGUGUCGUGAGAUGUUGGGUUAAGUCCCGCAACAGGCGCAACCCUUGUCAUUAGUUGCUACGAAAGGGCACUCUAAUGAGACUGCCAGUGACAAACCGGAGGAAGGUGGGGAUGACGUCAAGUCCUCAUGGCCCUUAUGGGUAGGGCUUCACCACGUCAUACAAUGGUCGGGACAGAGGGUCGCCAACCCGCGAGGGGGAACCAAUCCCAGAAACCCGAUCGUAGUCCGGAUCGCAGUCUGCAACUCGACUGCGUGAAGUCGGAAUCGCUAGUAAUCGCGGAUCAGCAUGUCGCGGUGAAUACGUUCCGGGUCUUGUACACACCGCCCGUCACACCAUGGGAGUGGGUUUUACCAGAAGUAGUUAGCCUAACCGUAAGGAGGCGAUUACCACGGUAAGUUCGCGGCUAGGGUAGAAGUCGGCAACAAGGUAG